rnacentral:tRNA from 1 species
GCACCUGUAGCUCAGUUGGUAGAGCAACGGACUUUUAAUCCGUAGGUCCUGGGUUCGAGUCCCAGCGGGUGCACCA